UACAGAGAGUGCAAACGUUGUUCGGAAUUACUGGGCUUGAAGCGCACGUAGGCGGCAUCGCAAGUGUGGGGUGAAAUCCCACGGCUUACCCGUGGAACUGCCUGGCAGACUGCGGUGCUAGAGUGUGGUAGGGGAGAGCGGAACUCCUGGUGGAGCGGUGAAAUGCGUAGAUAUCAGGAGGAACACCGGUGGCGAAGGCGGCUCUCUGGUCCACAACUGACGCUGAGGUGCGAAAGCUAGGGGAGCAAACGGG
rnacentral:rRNA from 1 species